UGGUGGAGUGAUUUGUCUGGUUAAUUCCGUUAACGAACGAGACGUCCACCUGCUAAAUAGUUUUGUAAAAGAUUCGUCUUUUAUCAAGAAACUUCUUAGAGGGACUAUCGGUGUGUAGCCGAUGGAAGUUGGACGCAAUAACA
rnacentral:rRNA from 1 species